rnacentral:rRNA from 1 species
CGGACGGCUGAGUAACACGUAGGAACGUACCCCAAACUGAGGGAUAAGCACCAGAAAUGGUGCCUAAUACCGCAUGUGGUCUUCGGAUUAAAGCUUCGGCGGUUUGGGAACGGCCUGCGCAUGAUUAGCUUGUUGGUGAGGUAAUAGCUCACCAAGGCGACGAUCAUUAGCUGGUCUGAGAGGAUGAUCAGCCAGACUGGAACUGAGAACGGUCCAG